rnacentral:rRNA from 1 species
AUGGCGGCGAGCUUACCAUGCAGUCGAACGAUGAAGCCCAGCUUGCUGGGUGGAUUAGUGGCGAACGGGUGAGUAACACGUGAGUAACCUGCCCUUGACUCUGGGAUAAGCCUGGGAAACUGGGUCUAAUACCGGAUAGGAACGUCCACCGCAUGGUGGGUGUUGGAAAGAUUUAUCGGUCAUGGAUGGACUCGCGGCCUAUCAGCUUGUUGGUGAGGUAAUGGCUCACCAAGGCGACGACGGGUAGCCGGCCUGAGAGGGUGACCGGCCACACUGGGACUGAGACACGGCCCAGACUCCUACGGGAGGCAGCAGUGGGGAAUAUUGCACAAUGGGCGAAAGCCUGAUGCAGCGACGCCGCGUGAGGGAUGACGGCCUUCGGGUUGUAAACCUCUUUCAGUAGGGAAGAAGCGAAAGUGACGGUACCUGCAGAAGAAGCACCGGCUAACUACGUGCCAGCAGCCGCGGUAAUACGUAGGGUGCGAGCGUUAUCCGGAAUUAUUGGGCGUAAAGAGCUCGUAGGCGGUUUGUCGCGUCUGUCGUGAAAGUCCGGGGCUUAACCCCGGGAUCUGCGGUGGGUACGGGCAGACUAGAGUGCAGUAGGGGAGACUGGAAUUCGUGGUGUAGCGGUGGAAUGCGCAGAUAUCAGGAGGAACACCGAUGGCGAAGGCAGGUCUCUGGGCUGUAACUGACGCUGAGGAGCGAAAGCAUGGGGAGCGAACAGGAUUAGAUACCCUGGUAGUCCAUGCCGUAAACGUUGGGCACUAGGUGUGGGGACCAUUCCACGGUUUCCGCGCCGCAGCUAACGCAUUAAGUGCCCCGCCUGGGGAGUACGGCCGCAAGGCUAAAACUCAAAGGAAUUGACGGGGGCCCGCACAAGCGGCGGAGCAUGCGGAUUAAUUCGAUGCAACGCGAAGAACCUUACCAAGGCUUGACAUGUUCUCGAUCGCCGUAGAGAUACGGUUUCCCCUUUGGGGCGGGAUCACAGGUGGUGCAUGGUUGUCGUCAGCUCGUGUCGUGAGAUGUUGGGUUAAGUCCCGCAACGAGCGCAACCCUCGUUCCAUGUUGCCAGCACGUAAUGGUGGGGACUCAUGGGAGACUGCCGGGGUCAACUCGGAGGAAGGUGGGGACGACGUCAAAUCAUCAUGCCCCUUAUGUCUUGGGCUUCACGCAUGCUACAAUGGCCGGUACAAUGGGUUGCGAUACUGUGAGGUGGAGCUAAUCCCAAAAAGCCGGUCUCAGUUCGGAUUGGGGUCUGCAACUCGACCCCAUGAAGUCGGAGUCGCUAGUAAUCGCAGAUCAGCAACGCUGCGGUGAAUACGUUCCCGGGCCUUGUACACACCGCCCGUCAAGUCACGAAAGUCGGUAACACCCGAAGCCGGUGGCCUAACCCUUGUGGGGGGAGCCGUCGAAUAUGACCAGC